CUACGGGUGGCUCCAGUGGGGAAUAUUGCACAAUGGGCGCAAGCCUGAUGCAGCCAUGCCGCGUGUAUGAAGAAGGCCCUCGGGUUGUAAAGUACUUUCAGCGGGGAGGAAGGGAGUAAAGUUAAUACCUUUGCUCAUUGACGUUACCCGCAGAAGAAGCACCGGCUAACUCCGUGCCAGCAGCCGCGGUAAUACGGAGGGUGCAAGCGUUAAUCGGAAUUACUGGGCGUAAAGCGCACGCAGGCGGUUUGUUAAGUCAGGUGUGAAAUCCCCGGGCUCAACCUGGGAACUGCAUCUGAUACUGGCAAGCUUGAGUCUCGUAGAGGGGGGUAGAAUUCCAGGUGUAGCGGUGAAAUGCGUAGAGAUCUGGAGGAAUACCGGUGGCGAAGGCGGCCCCCUGGACGAAGACUGACGCUCAGGUGCGAAAGCGUGGGGAGCAAACAGGAUUAGAUACCCUUGUAGUC
rnacentral:rRNA from 1 species